rnacentral:rRNA from 1 species
UACGUAGGGCGCAAGCGUUUGUCCGGAAUUAUUGGGCGUAAAGAGCGUGUAGGCGGCCCGAUUAGUCCGCUGUGAAAGUCCAGGGCUCAACCCUGGAAUGCCGGUGGAUACUGUCGGGCUAGAGUCCGGAAGGGGCGAGUGGAAUUCCUGGUGUAGCGGUGAAAUGCGCAGAUAUCAGGAGGAACACCAAUGGCGAAGGCAGCUCGCUGGGACGUGACUGACGCUGAGACGCGAAAGCGUGGGGAGCAAACAGG